CUGUGCAAUGAAUAUGACUGUAUCUAUUUAAAAAAAAUCUGAUUUAUUAGCACACAAGUGAUUUGUAGAUCUAAAUUACCUCUUUGUGUAAAUUAACUUACAAUUAAAUCAUUUAAGUUUUGUAUUACAUUUUAAAUAAUGUGAAGUAAUUUGCAGUGGAAUAAAUUAGCAUCAGGGACAUGACAGAGUUUAGCAAUAUUAAAGCAUUUAUGGUUCUCUUCUUUAACCACAACUGUAAAUGAUAGCUAUGAUGAUGUACAAUAUCCAGAAAAAGUAGCCACCGAAAAAAUAGUUGGCAUAUAGAGUAGUCAGUGUCAUGAAGCUGAAAAGAGUCAUACAUUAUUCGGUCAUUUUCAGCAGUGGCACUCUGAUCUGAUGUGAGCUACAGACAAGUGUAGUUUGUUACUUAAAAUUGUACAAUGUUCCUCUGUAGGAUAUACCUUGCAACAAUUGCUCUGUGGAACUGGUUAAGUUUUACAGCUAACAUACUGAGUGUAUAAGACACCAACAAAGACAAAAUUUUAGAUAUUGAUACCUGUUACACAGUACAGAUAGCACAGUCACAUGAAAUCUUACUAAUUGUAAGCAAAUAACUAGAAGUAAUCAGACUUUGAAGUCAUCUUUCUUCCGUAACAGAAAUAGUAAUUGGUCACUAUAUGCAGUAUAGUAAGUCAGUCUGGUCCCUACACAGACUUUCCUUUAUCAUGGAAAUACUGCUGAAGUAUAAAGUGUUACAGAAAAUUAGCAUAAAAUACUUCAUUGUGGAAACAUUCGUAUCACUUCAUUUUGUAUUCUCUACGUCUUUUAAAACAAUACUGUUGGUUUGGAGAGUAGUGAAAUUUCAUUAAAUGUAAUUAGCUACAGCUCAAAGUCUUGAAAAUUUUUACCCAACGGCUGAUCGUAAUGUUGUUAAAUUUUAUUCAGAGUAUGCCACCUUGUAUCCUCAAUGGAAGGGACAGAAUGACAACUUCAUAGUAGACUACUGCAGUUCUAGGUGCGGAAUAUUCUCAUAGUACUACAAAAAAGUAAUUAUAACACUUCCUUGCAUCUCUAGAAACCACUGUAGUCAGUUCUUCAUUGAAAUUCUGAGGGCUGCAAUUCUGAUCUACAGAACAGCAUGGUUGAAAGUAUAAGAAAGAGGAAUAUACAUUAAGCUGGAGGUUGCAGUACCUCAGUGUAUUCUUCUUACUCCAGGGUACAGCAGUCUCGAAGUUAGUAUAUAUUAGAAGAAAGGGGUUGCAGGCACAGACCCUUAUAGUGGGGGUGUAGUAUAGAAAGCUUCCCUGCAAAAAUGCUUUAAUGGGAUUACACUGAAUUUUGAGAGUUGCUUUAGCUUUUUGGCAUUUGCACUUUAUUGUUUUGCAGCUGAAGGAUGCACAGUGGUGGGUGUCCCUUCCAGUAGGUAGCCCAGUUGUCAACAGCUAUCUGAAGCUGACAAACGCCCUCCUAGUGAGUGCAGGAAGAAACAAAAUAUACAAUAUCAAAUGUUGCUUUAGGUGCACAGUUACAAUUUUGUUUGCAUUUGGGAGAGGGGAAUGCCACAUGUGGUAAGUGGGAGUGGGUGGUAAUACUGAAACAUUUGGAUAUAUUGAAGUUGGGGGAGUAGGUUCGAGUAAGGGCUAGGAAAUGAUGGGAUGUACGUUGUGUUAUGCUUGGGUACUGGUAUGUGUGAAGUCUGUGAGUGUGAGUGUAUGUGUGUAGGUUCGAGUAAGGGCUAGGAAAUGAUGGGAUGUACGUUGUGUUAUGCUUGGGUACUGGUAUGUGUGAAGUCUGUGAGUGUGAGUGUAUGUGUGUAGGUUCGAGUAAGGGCUAGGAAAUGAUGGGAUGUACGUUGUGUUAUGCUUGGGUACUGGUAUGUGUGAAGUCUGUGAGUGUGAGUGUAUGUGUGUAGGUUCGAGUAAGGGCUAGGAAAUGAUGGGAUGUACGUUGUGUUAUGCUUGGGUACUGGUAUGUGUGAAGUCUGUGAGUGUGAGUGUAUGUGU